GACGAACGCUGGCGGCGUGCUUAACACAUGCAAGUCGAACGGAAAGGCCCUGCUUUUGUGGGGUGCUCGAAUGGCGAACGGGUGAGUAACACGUGAGUAACCUGCCCUUGACUUUGGGAUAACUUCAGGAAACUGGGGCUAAUACCGGAUAGGAGCUCCUGCUGCAUGGUGGGGGUUGGAAAGUUUCGGCGGUUGGGGAUGAACUCGCGGCUUAUCAGCUUGUUGGUGGGGUAGUGGCUUACCAAGGCUUUGACGGGUAGCCGGCCUGAGAGGGUGACCGGCCACAUUGGGACUGAGAUACGGCCCAGACUCCUACGGGAGGCAGCAGUGGGGAAUAUUGCACAAUGGGCGGAAGCCUGAUGCAGCAACGCCGCGUGCGGGAUGACGGCCUUCGGGUUGUAAACCGCUUUCGCCUGUGACGAAGCGUGAGUGACGGUAAUGGGUAAAGAAGCACCGGCUAACUACGUG
rnacentral:rRNA from 1 species